rnacentral:sRNA from 1 species
UAUUCUGCCCCACGGGGAAGGAUGAGAAGCUUCGACUAAGGUUCGACUCGAGCGAAGCGAGAGAACGUUGCCGCAGGCAAUGGCCCGAAGGCGAGGCGCUUUAGCGCCGAGUAAUCCUUACCCCACCACCA